AUUUCAUUUUUAUUCUCUCUUUAAAGAACUAGCUUGAAGACCCACAUGAUAGGCAUGAGAUUUCUCUCUUUGUAGGACGAACUCGUAAGUCAUCUAAGGAACAAAAUCCACCUGGAUCUACUGAAAAAUCAACAAUGUAUUUGUGAUUUUUGUGAUCGUCCCUAUCUUUCAGAGCUUCAUCUGGAUAGCUUGGAGCUGCUACAAUAAGUGAAUGGUGAAGUUUUGAUGACGGUUGGGCGCAAUACAGAAGCUGAAGAUGCUGCUAGGGGGCUUUAAAAUCACCAAGGUGGACUUCGGGUUGUGAGUACAUGAAGUUGCUAAUAUGGCUGAAUGGGAAGAUGAACAAAUUGAGUAUAUCAAAGAGAAAGUAACUGAGGAGGGUAAGGAAGCCGAUCUAAAGAAAGGAAGCAACUUGCUCAGGUUGAAUUGGAUGAAGCUACUUUCUUGUUGGAUCUAGAAAGCAUCGACAGUUCAUGGGACGAUUGCGCACAAAGGAUUGUUGAAUGCUAUAAGGAGGCGGGACUGCAUGAAGUUGCAAACUGUGUGGUUUACAGAGACUGAAAUAUCAACAACCUUGCAGAAUAUCAACGUCUUACACUACCCCUACGAGUUCUAAUUAGUGGCUUAUAAAGUUUUGCCUCUGGCAAAGUGUACUCUAAUUGUUUUCAGAAAAACAAGAAAAGACUUCACAAUAGUCCUUUAAAUAUGCACCCCCAUUUUGAUCUCCUCUCACACCGAGGUGAAUUGUAAAAGAACAAAAGUAAUAAUAUGUAACAAGUAACUUGCAUUGAAGUUGAAGCAGGUGAAAAAAAAGAAUACGAUGUGUUACUAUACUGAACUUUGAGGGUUUGA